rnacentral:lncRNA from 1 species
UUUAAAGAAAACCAAACAAAUUGCAUCAAGUUUUUCUUAUCGAACACCACCUGAUUGCCAUCAAAUUAAGAUCAAAACCUUCCACCAAAAUGGGGAAAAAAGAAGAAAGGAGAUCAAAACGGAGCAACAGAACCCAAGAUACCUGAAAGUGGAGGGCAAAUCUAUAUUUCUUUGAGGGAGGCAAAUCUUUAUGGUCUCGUUUUUGUCCGAAACCUCAAACGAAACUCGGGUCUCCCAAACACGGCGGAGGAUUUACUACCUUUGCUACGUUCACCGACGCACAGACAAGAGGACAAAAUCCUCAUGACCUCAGUUCCAUAGCGACGGGCGGGGAAGCCCUUGAGCUCAUGCCUUGCUUUUGGAGAAGCUUCUUCGCCGGGAUCGCGAACACGAUCGCCCGCGGAUCGGGAUCAAAGCUUCUUGCC